rnacentral:rRNA from 1 species
AGUCGGACGGCAGCGGCGCCCUUCGGGGUGCCGGCGAGUGGCGAACUGGGUGAGUAAUACAUCGGAACGUACCCUCUGGUGGGGGAUAACCCGUCGAAAGACGGGCUAAUACCGCAUGAGCUCUGAGGAGGAAAGCAGGGGACCGCGAGGCCUUGCGCCAGAGGAGCGGCCGAUGUCCGAUUAGCUAGUUGGUGGGGUAAAGGCCUACCAAGGCGACGAUCGGUAGCGGGUCUGAGAGGACGGCCCGCCACACUGGGACUGAGACACGGCCCAGACUCCUACGGGAGGCAGCAGUGGGGAAUUUUGGACAAUGGGGGCAACCCUGAUCCAGCCAUUCCGCGUGAGUGAAGAAGGCCUUCGGGUUGUAAAGCUCUUUCGGCAGGAACGAAACGGUGGGCUCUAACAGAGUCUGCUAAUGACGGUACCUGAAGAAGAAGCACCGGCUAACUACGUGCCAGCAGCCGCGGUAAUACGUAGGGUGCGAGCGUUAAUCGGAAUUACUGGGCGUAAAGCGUGCGCAGGCGGUUUUGUAAGACAGAUGUGAAAUCCCCGGGCUUAACCUGGGAACUGCGUUUGUGACUGCAAAGCUAGAGUGCGGCAGAGGGGGGUGGAAUUCCUGGUGUAGCAGUGAAAUGCGUAGAGAUCACGAGGAACACCCGAUGGCGAAGGCAGACCCCCUGGGUUGACACUGACGCUCAUGCACGAAAGCGUGGGUGAGCAAUCAGAUUAGAUAGCCUUGUAGUGCACCCCCU